rnacentral:lncRNA from 1 species
GAGCACCCCUACCGUCCUGCUGGAAGUCGGGGCUGGGCUGUCAGGUCUCCAAGUCCCGCGCAGAGCCGGCGGGAUGGAGCCGCCAAACCACGCGGAGUCGGGGAGCAUGGAGAGAAUCCCCUAACUCCUCCUCCGUGGGGCUUCCCGCGUGGAUUCCCACCCAGUCUCGGUUUGCCGGGGGAGAAGGUGGAGGUGGAGAAAGGGGAGGAGAGGUGGUCUGCCCACGGCCACCAGUGCUCAGGACCUGCGGGCCGAUGGCCAGUGUGGGCGGUGACACCCUUCCCUCGAUGUGGGAGUCACGCCCCACCGUCCCUCCUGCACGCUGGGACAUCUCACUGCGGACGAGGAAACUGAGGCCGGGGGAAGGGGGAUCUCCGGCGCGGAUGCCGGCUGGAAGGCUCCAUCCAGUCCACGCGACCCACCGAGCCGAGGGCUGCUCGCACUCCCGCACAGGCGGCGGAGCUGCCUCGUCGACCCGAAACCGCGGCCAGAAGAUGUCUCCACGGUUGCCUGAGCCCGGGGUCGCAGCCAGGGUUUGGCUUCCAGACCCCCAGGGGAUCCUUCAGCCAGCCCUGGCCGCCCCCGCCGCCUCCCUAGAAACGUGCUUUGGCCGCAAGAGGGCGACAAAGCCCAGACUGCGCGAGUAGACGCGGCGGGUCUCUGGACGUUCCCGGGGCUCCGCGGUGACCGGGUAACAAAGAGCCUGAGCCAGGGCCACUCCAGGGCUCGGUCCAUCAGCAGGCUGUCCAUCACGGGUGAGAUCAUCUGGUACCUGCACGUGACCACCCCACAGACUCUAAGCCGCUUUGACCCGACUUCCUCCUUUCCGACAUCGGUUUCCCUGGUUUCCCCGUCUGUCAGCUGUGGGUUCCAGGAAGAGCUGGGGAGUGGGGCGGCUGCUUCUUCAAGACCGCUCAGAGGCCCCUCCUCCUUGCCACCUUCCCUGUUCCUCCCACUUGGACUGGCAUCUCUGCUUCACACCAGGCACCUCCAGGGUGCACUGGGUGGAGUUCAGGAGGCCAGCUGACCUUCAGCACUAGGCUGCCAGAGUGGGCAGUGAGCCACACCAAGCAAGCUGGCUGUCACAGGCCUGGCUGCAGCUGAUACCAAUGGGACCCCAGCAGUUCAACAGGGACUUCCUCCCUCCCAGCCUCCAUUUGCUCAUCUGUACAGGCUCUGUGCCCUCAGGUCCCAGGCACAUGCUGCCUUCAAAAUAAAAUACAUUUUAAACUGAGGGCAUGGGGCCCUAACAGAGUCCUAACAGAAGCUUAAUGUGGGAAUCUCAGUUCCCAGACCAGGGAUUGAACCCAGGCUGAAGAGGCAAGACUGUCCAGUCCUCACCACUAGGCCUGUCAGGUUUCGGGGUUGUCACUGGGGGCUCCUGAGAGUCUCUCGUGGUGUGGGAGGCAGUGAAGAAGAAAGCCAGCUCAGUGGGUGGGUGCUGUUUUGCCUAUGGGCCCUGGGAGAGCCUGCAUAGAGGGAGGAGUCAGGGUCCCCUGGGUGUUCCUAGACCCAGGAUCCCUGGGCUCCUUGUUCUGCAGCAGGCAGGGUCCCGAGGCCAGUGAGGUGGCCUGGGAAGCAGACUCAUCGUCACCUUGCCAAGGGACCACAGGUCCCCCUCCUGCCAAGGUCCUCAGCCCAGGAGAGGCAAAGCGGCCUGAACGGCAGGUCUGCAGCUGUGCUGCUCAGGACAGAUGGCUAAGUAGCUGUGACAGUCCAGCACACUACCUGCCCAGGUCACCUAGGCCCCUGGGACAUGCAAAGCCCAGGGCUUCACUUCAUAAGUACUUGGAGGUGGCUGGGGUUGGAACAGUGAAACUGGUGCCUCCAGGACCUGGUAAUGAAGGCCCAGUCCUGCUGGGUCUCAGUCCCUAACUGAUGACACCCCUUGGCCCUGAGAAGGGACAUGUGCAUGGGACCCAGCCACUGCUCCCUGCACAUUUCACCCCCACCCUGGGCUCCCAGCCUCCAAGGAAUGUACUUCUGCACCUGCAAACCGGCUCCUGUCUUAGCAGCCCCAUCAGCCCCAUGGAAGGGGAGAGAAAGGCACCCCUCUCACAAUGACAGCCCCUCCCCACUAGCCCCAGCCCAACCCUAAGUGGAGGGCCAGCCAGUGCCUGUGCUGAGGGCCUGGAGGCAGGAAUGCCUCCCCCUCCCCAAGAACAAGACACCCGACCCCCUUGCUGGCUCCUUCAAGCCUGGUAGGUGCAGUCGCCCAUGCCUGUGUCCAAGGCCUGGCCCCUGCCCCACAGCUGCACCUCCACCAGGAUGGGAUCUGCUCCGCUGGGCUCAGCUCCAAUGGGAUCAUCAACCCUGUGGCUAACCCACAUCCUGCCACUUCUGGCCCCCCAGGCUCCACCCUGCCUAUGCCUCCAGUAUUCCCUGCAUCCUCCCCCUGCUCACUGAUUCCUCUGGCAGGCUGCCCUCCCAGCAGCCACAAGGAUCUUCUUUUCUUCUUCUCCUCUUUUUUUUUUUUUUCCCUUUCUUUUUGCGGGCCCUGCAGUAUAUGGAGUUCCAAGGCUAGGGAUCAGAUCUGAGCCACAGUUGCAACCUAUGCAGCAGCUGUGGCAACGCUGGAUACUUAACCCACUCACUGUGCCCAGCCUGGGAUCGAACCUGAGUCUCAUCACUCCCAAGAUGUGCACCACAGCAGGAACUCCCAAAGAACUGCUUCUUUUUUUGUUUUUAGGGCCGCACUUGCGGCAUAUGGAAGUUCCCAGGCUAGGGGUCCAAUCAGAGCUACAGCUGCCGGCCUACACCACAGCCACAGCAACGCAGGAUCCGAGCUGCAUCUAAGAUCUACACCACAGCUCACAGCAACGCCAGACCCUUAACCCACUGAGGCCAGAGAUCAAACCUGCAAUUUCAUGGUUCCUAGUCGGAUUCAUUUCCGCUGCCUCAGAACAGGAACUCCCCAAGGAUCUUCUUAUAGUGACAAGCAUCACCUCUUCACAGAGUUUUCCAGAUCACUUCAUGUAGCAUGGGGCCCACUAUCCAACGCUCCAGCCUCCACUUGGCUGUUAUUUCCAUCAGCACCCUGCCCAGCAAACACUGGCUCUUAUUUAGCAUAAGCUCUUGGGUGCCUGUCUUCUUGGCUACACCAGGAGGGAGAGCAUCUUCUGUUGGCCACUUUUUCCAGCAUCCAGAACAAUGCCUGGCAGCUGGUGUUCAAUAAAUGAUUGACUUUAUUCAUUAAAAU